CAGAUGCCCCCAUAUUCCGCCGUGUUUGCGUCAACAGCCUGCACUUUAACAGUUAAAUUCUGUCGACAGUCCUUGGAUACGGAACAGUCCCAACAAAGGACAAAAGUUAACCUAAAAUGCUGGCAUCCUACAGGGUUGCAAAUUAUGGGAUAGCAACAGAAGAGCAAAGUCCCUGGAAAGGGAAGUUCCUGCCUCUCCUGGAACAGAGAUCCCUGCGGUCUCCUAAAUGUCAGUAAAAGACCCGGAGGGGAUUGGAAAGUAAUCAAGUGUCUGUGCACAAAAGAAGCUUCAGCAGCAGCUCCCCAUCUGCACCAGCUUCGGUGAGAUACCUGAGUCUCAUGACAUAAAAAUACAUUGCUGCCAAUAAAAUCUCUGAAGACUGACCAUCUGUGCUGUGAGGAGGUGCCAGCACAGACCGGCUGUAGCAGAAAUGGGAAAGAGCAGCCCUGACAGGGUGACUGACGCCACCUCCCCGACCUGUGCAUGCAACUCACAGAAAGCACUCAGAUGCCAUUUUGGAAGAAAUGUUUUCAAGUUCAUUUCGCACACAUCAAAUAAAGAAAAAAAAAAAAAAGUAAACCAAAAUCUUAACUUCCUUCAUCACAGACCUCUCGUCCUAGGGAAGUCUGUGUUUACAAAAAGUUGUUCUGUUUCCCCUUUGAAUUAAAUAAAUCCUAAGACUAAAACAAAACAACAGAUAUGGCAACAUAAACUUACUCCGUCUUUUCCCGACAUCCCCUUUGGAAGUUGCUGCUUCAUUUAGAAGAACCAUCCCCAUGGUGAUAGCAGCAUCUACAGUAGUUGUCAAGGAAACCAUAGACAGUGCUGAACACUGAAUACUGCACAUCUCAUCUGAAAAGCUCUUGAAUUUCUUACAAAUUGAAGAUUUCCUGAUAGAAGAUCCUAAGAUUUUUUUAAGAGUAUAAAAUACUUUACUGCUUUGUCUCAAGGCACCAGGCUGUUCCACCAUCACACUUUCUCUUACAGAUACUGCUGCAAAGGAUUACUCCUUACAGGACUCUUUACAUGUAUGCACAGAUCUCCUGCACGCAGCCACAGGGCAUUCGAGGCUAGGCAUGUGUACUUUCCAACUUGUUAGCUGUAAUGGUACUGCUCUGGAGGAAGAAAAGCGUUUCCAUUUUCCUUACCGUGCAUGGAGUACUGCUGCACUGCUGAUACCAGCAAGUUGUAAGGAAGAAGCAGCACCACCACUCGAGGCUGGGCAUUUCUGCCAUGCUUACUGCUUCUGUCAGUUCUCUUCUGCCCAGUUAAGCAUCUGGAUUUGCCAAUGGCUAUGUCUCCAUUUUGUUCUGAAUACUAGUUGAACAAAGUGUUAUACACAGACUCUCCUACUUUAUGUCUUUGGCAUUUAUUUCAUCAUGCAGAAGUUUGUACUUUUAAUGUGGAGAAAUUCAUGUUUUGCUCCUGUUCUUGCUUAUGAAAUGACUUUCUAUCUCUAGGUCUAAAUAUUCCCUGAUCUUUUCUUCUCAGAGCUGUAAAAGUCAAGCCACGCCACUGUUCUGUCAUGUCCCAUCGCAUCCUUGUGUUCCCUACCACUGCAACCCUAGACCACAAGGGACCGAAAAAAAAUUCUUUUGUUGACUAUCUUACAGAUGUUGAUGCAGGUACUACUACCAGUUUGUAAAUAAAACAGCUGAAGCUUACAGCGACUCUAAGUAAGUCACCCAAAACAUGCAAACUGGGCAAACUUAACAAAAUGACAGAGAGGUCUGGGACAAUGGGAAAAUGGUGAGGAUGGGGCCAAGGGGAGAAAAGCAAACAGAACCAGCAUACGAUGAACGCUGAAUCCCAGCGUAAGAUGCUGACUACAACACUGUUUUCAUAAACACAAAAACGUAUUUUACUAUCCUAAAACAUUCAUAUUAGAUUCUUAGAAAUCAAUUUGCAAAUAUUAAAUUCUUUCUGAAACACAUAGAAUAUGACCUGGCAUUAUAUGCUUAUAUUUCACAUUGAAAUCAAAUUCUCAAAAUAUUCUGUAGACUAGAGUGACAGAGUACUAUGUAGAGAUAAUUCCUAUUAACCAAGCAAGAAGGAACUAGAAACCUAAGGUUUAAAAUUCUCAGGUUUCAGGAUGUUAGAAAUUUAGUGCUGAGUGUAUACGUAAGGAAUUACUAUCACCUCCAUAAAGGGAUUCCUAUGAAUUCCUAGAAUUAUUUACUAUAAUCUAAAAUCUAAAACACCAGAAGUCUUAAUAUACAAGUGACAAAGGCUUUAAAUGUCAAAAGAAUGAGGCUGAGGGGAAGCAUGAGGCAUAGACCACAGUGAGCAAGGUUAUUCUGAGAUAGCACCAGAGCUUCCGCCAACUCCUGAAGAUCGUGACUGCAUUACAAGCACCUUCCACCUCUCCUGUAAUGGUUUCCCUGGAUUGUACAGCCUAUUGAGCCAUGUGUGACCAGCCUCUCAACAACAUAGGUUAUUAUUCCUCAAUCUAAUUCUAUUGAUUAAAUAUGCUCUUUGACAUGUU